UGCCUGGCAGUGCCCGGGCGCACAACACGUCUGUUCCCAAGGAGCAUGCGCCCCGCACCUUCGCGCACACACGCGGUCCCCACUUGCAGAGCCGAGCUGCCGUCCCAUCCAGUCAGGAGGCGCUUACCUGAAGCACGUGGAUGGAGAAACCCGUUCACUGUGUCUCCACUGGCAUUUCCUGGAUGCCCUAGGCACUUGAACAUAUUUCUAUCAGCCACCAUGCCCUGCUCCUCCACUGGUCCUGUUUCUUAAUUUUAGACCACAAGCAUCCGCCUUCUUCCACCAAUGGCUCACCCCCAGUACCCGGACUGAACUCAGGACCUUCCGCUCGCAAGGCAGGUGCGACGCCACUGAGCUAAA